rnacentral:lncRNA from 1 species
AUUUACACACAGCUACACAAUGAAGCAAGGAUCCCUGAGGAAAUCUACUCUACAUGUUAAGCUAUGGAAGGAUUCUCUCCACAUUUGGAAAUGGGUAUGUCCUUUAUAUGUCUUCUAGACGCAAGAAGAAGCUGAGACCUGCGGAAAUAAUGACUAUUAAUUUAGCAGUCUGUGAUCUGGGGAUUUCAGUUGUAGGCAAGCCAUUCACCAUCAUCUCUUGCUUCUGCCACCGCUGGGUGUUUGGCUGGUUUGGCUGCCGCUGGUAUGGAUGGGCUGGAUUUUUCUUUGGCUGUGGAAGCCUGAUUACCAUGACUG